AUUCUGCCCAUGCGGGGAAGGAUGAGAAGCUUCGACCAAGGUUCGACUCGAGCGCCAGCGAGAGAGCGUUGCCGCAGGCAACGACCCGAAGGGCGAAGCGCGCAGCGCUGAGUAAUCCUUCCCCCAC
rnacentral:sRNA from 1 species